UACGUAGGGUGCGAGCGUUAAUCGGAAUUACUGGGCGUAAAGCGUGCGCUGGCGGCUUUGCAAGACAGAUGUGAAAUCCCCGGGCUCAACCUGGGAACUGCAUUUGUGACUGCAAGGCUAGAGUACGGCAGAGGGGGAUGGAAUUCCGCGUGUAGCAGUGAAAUGCGUAGAUAUGCGGAGGAACACCAAUGGCGAAGGCAAUCCCCUGGGCCUGUACUGACGCUCAUGCACGAAAGCGUGGGGAGCAAACAGG
rnacentral:rRNA from 1 species